rnacentral:lncRNA from 1 species
AAAGAAACUGAUGAAUCCCAAUCUUUAAGAAACACCCCAAUACACUGUCAAAAAUGCAAAAAUUAUGCACUCAAUUGGGAACUCAACUAGAAUAACAUGCCAUCAUACCCCAGCCAAUCCCAACCACUCAAUAACAAAUUUGAAUCUCUUCAAGAACUUGAGGAAGACGAGGAGAUGGAAAUUUCGAAAAGCAUUCCUCUGAAACAACAAAACACUCAUUCUCCCUCACACAAGGACUCUUUGAUACAACCAAAAAACCAGGCCACACCUGAAAUGCCACGUGUCCAUCAGGUGGCCUCAACCAAUAGCAGUUCACUUGCAUGACAUGUUGCCAUUUUGUCUAGAAGCUAUUGACAGCUAUAACCUAGACACUAAUCACUCCAUGCAUGCACUAAAUCCUCAAUAUCCAGGUGACAAAUCGGACGCCAUGAAUUACAUAUGCACACACUUGUCAAUGUACAAAUGGCAAAACCUAUGGACACA